rnacentral:rRNA from 1 species
ACGGAAGGCAGCAGUGAGGAAUAUUGGUCAAUGGUCGGAAGACUGAACCAGCCAAGUCGCGUGCAGGAAGACGGUCCUAUGGAUUGUAAACUGCUUUUGUACGGGAAUAAAGUGCGGGACGUGUCCCGUUUGGAAUGUACCGUACGAAUACGGGUCGGCUAACUCCGUGCCCGCAGCCGCGGUAAUACGGAGGACCCGAGCGUUAUCCGGAUUUAUUGGGUUUAAAGGGUGCGCAGGCGGAGGAUUAAGUCAGCGGUGAAAUUUUCAUGCUCAACAUGAAAACUGCCAUUGAUACUGGUCCCCUUGAGAGAUGUCGAGGAUGGCGGAAUGUGAUGUGUAGCGGUGAAAUGCUUAGAUAUGUCACAGAACACCGAUUGCGAAGGCAGCUGUCCAGAGAUCUUCUGACGCUCAGGCACGAAAGCAUGGGUAUCAAACAAGAUUAGAUACCCUGGUA